rnacentral:rRNA from 1 species
UGAGGAAUAUUGGUCAAUGGACGCAAGUCUGAACCAGCCAUGCCGCGUGCAGGAAGACGGCUCUAUGAGUUGUAAACUGCUUUUGUACUAGGGUAAACGCUUCUACGUGUAGGAGCCUGAAAGUAUAGUACGAAUAAGGAUCGGCUAACUCCGUGCCAGCAGCCGCGGUAAUACGGAGGAUCCAAGCGUUAUCCGGAUUUAUUGGGUUUAAAGGGUGCGUAGGCGGUCAGGUAAGUUAGAGGUGAAAGCUCGAUGCUCAACAUCGAAACUGCCUCUGAUACUGUCUGACUAGAGUGUAGUUGCGGAAGGCGGAAUGUGUGGUGUAGCGGUGAAAUGCUUAGAUAUCACACAGAACACCGAUUGCGAAGGCAGCUUUCCAAGCUAUUACUGACGCUGAGGCACGAAAGCGUGGGGGAGCGAACAGGAUUAGAUACC